GGGCCCGCACAAGCGGAGGAACAUGUGGUUUAAUUCGAUGAUACGCGAGGAACCUUACCCGGGUUUGAACGCAUUCGGACAGGGGCGGAAACGUCCCCUUCAGCAAUGACCGUUUGCGAGGUGCUGCAUGGUUGUCGUCAGCUCGUGCCGUGAGGUGUCGGCUUAAGUGCCAUAACGAGCGCAACCCCUAUUGCCAGUUGCCAUCGAGUAAAGUCGGGGACUUUGGCAAGACUGCCGGCGUAAGCUGCGAGGAAGGCGGGGAUGACGUCAAAUCAGCACGGCCCUUACAUCCGGGGCGACACACGUGUUACAAUGGCAGGGACAAAGGGCAGCCACCCGGCGACGGGGCGCUAAUCCCAAAACCCUGUCUCAGUUCCGGAUCGGAGUCUGCAACUCGACUCCGUGAAGCCGGAUUCGCUAGUAAUCGCGCAUCAGCCAUGGCGCGGUGAAUACG
rnacentral:rRNA from 1 species